rnacentral:rRNA from 1 species
GACGAACGCUGGCGGCGUGCUUAACACAUGCAAGUCGAACGGAAAGGCCCUGCUUUUGUGGGGUUCUCGAGUGGCGAACGGGUGAGUAACACGUGAGUAACCUCCCCUUGACUUUGGGAUACCUUCAGGAAACUGGGGCUAAUACCGGAUAGGCGCUCCUGCUGCAUGUUGGGGGUUGGAAAUUUUCGGCGGUGGAGGAUUGACUCGCGGCUUAUCAGCUUGUUGGUGGGGUAAUGGCCUACCCAGGCUUUGACGGGUAGCCGGCCUGAGAGGGUGGACGGGCACAAUGGGGCUGAGAUACGGGCCAGACUCCUACGGGGGGCAAGAGUGGGGAAUAUUGCACAAUGGGCGCAAGGCUGAUGCAGCGACGCCGCGGGGGGGAUGACGGGCUUCGGGGUGGAAACUCGUUUCGCUAGGGACGGAGCUGUUUGUGACGGUACCUAGAUAAGAAGCACCGGCUAACUACGUG